AACGUAGGAGACAAGCGUUAUCCGGAGUUACUGGGCGUAAAGGGCGUGUAGGUGGUUUUGUAAGUCUGGCGUGAAAUUUCUCGGCUUAACUGAGGCAGGUCGUCGGAUACUAUAAGACUAGAGGACGGUAGAGGCGUGUGGAAUUCCGGGUGUAGUGGUGAAAUGCGUAGAGAUCCGGAGGAACACCAGUGGCGAAGGCGACACGCUGGGCCGUACCUGACACUGAUGCGCGACAGCAUGGGGAGCAAACAGG
rnacentral:rRNA from 1 species